UCCGUCGUUUUCUCUCUUUCCUCUUAAUUACUUGGCUUAAAGCGUGCGCAGGCGGUUUUGUAAGUCAGAUGUGAAAUCCCCGGGCUUAACCUGGGAACUGCGUUUGAAACUACAAGGCUAGAGUGUAGCAGAGGGGGGUGGAAUUCCACGUGUAGCAGUGAAAUGCGUAGAGAUGUGGAGGAACACCGAUGGCGAAGGCAGCCCCCUGGGCUAACACUGACGCUCAGGCACGAAAGCGUGGGGAGCAAACAGG
rnacentral:rRNA from 1 species